AAACGACUCUCGGCAACGGAUAUCUCGGCUCUUGCAUCGAUGAAGAACGUAGCGAAAUGCGAUACUUGGUGUGAAUUGCAGAAUCCCGUGAACCAUCGAGUUUUUGAACGCAAGUUGCGCCCGAGGCCAUUUAGGUUGAGGGCACGUCUGCCUGGGCGUCACAC
rnacentral:rRNA from 1 species